UACGUAGGGUGCGAGCGUUGUCCGGAUUUACUGGGCGUAAAGAGCGCGCAGGCGGUCGAUCAAGUCGAGUGUGAAAGCCCCCGGCUCAACUGGGGAGGGUCAUUCGAUACUGAUCGACUCGAAGGCAGGAGAGGGUAGUGGAAUUCCCGGUGUAGUGGUGAAAUGCGUAGAUAUCGGGAGGAACACCAGUGGCGAAGGCGACUACCUGGCCUGUUCUUGACGCUGAGGCGCGAAAGCUAGGGGGGCAAACGGG
rnacentral:rRNA from 1 species